UCAAAAAGAGUUUGGAAGAACACUAACUUUGGGAGUUAGAGGAUAGUAAUAUAGUACUAUUUUUGAA
rnacentral:tRNA from 1 species